UUUGUAGUGGCUGUUUUAAAGAAACCGAACCAUGUGUUAGUUUUUCCUGGCUCAUAGACUACUUUCAGGGUGAGGAACCAUCUAACAUUACAUUAUAAAAUAAUAAACUUCCCCUUUAAUACAGUAUGUCCCCUCUGCCCUCCUAUUCCAGGUGAGAAGCCCCAUGUGUGCCUGGUGUGUGGCAAAGCCUUCAACCAGAGCUCCAACCUCACCCACAGCCGUCAGCACAGUGGCAACCAGCCCUACCACUGCCGCCUCUACGGCUUCCAGCGCAAACUGGACCUGAGACAGCGCAUAUACCUUCAGGCUAAGACCCUGAUACCAGCUGAUCUGAGAUCAGUUUUAAUAAGCAAGAGAACCACUCCACAUAGAUAGCAACUCAGAGACUCUCACAUGGUCACAGCUGACCCCAGCAAAUGUUUUAAUUUUUAGUCUGAUCAUUGUUUUAUUAUUUUAGGUGAUCAAACUCUCUUGAUUGUCUGUGAUUUACUUGUCAGGCGUAGUUCAAGGAAUGGUACUUUGAGAUAAAAUGUAGUGUUUGACAUCUAAAUAUACAGCUCUUGUGACACCCACGUCGGUUCUCAAAUGAAAUCCUUCUCUUCAGUUCUCUGGCACAUAAACUUUUACCUGGAUUGGGCUGAGAACCCCCCACCGACCCUCCCUCCUUCCCUCUGUAAGCUCUACCCUAUAAAAGCAGAGCCAUCUCUCCGCUCUGCAGUAGAACAACUGAUCACUACAACCUUCAAAACCUCCACUGCACUGAGGAAGAACACCCAGACACAGCAGCAAUGGGAGCUAGUGGUUCAAUCAACGUCAACAGCGAUGCGCAAGGUUGUAAUAUAGCCAACGCAACAGGUGGCAAAGUGCGUCUCUACUACAAGUCAGAGAAGAUGGCUCUCAGUGACCUCAUCGAGGGGAGUCAUCUCAAGAAGGGCGACUCCAUGCUCAUCCUGGAAGGCACCGUUAAGAAGAGCGUUCUCCCGCAUAACCUCUAUGUCACUGGCUUCCAAGUAGAAAGUGACAAUUUACAUAGUUGCCCUAAGGAAUCCCCACUGAAUGGGCUGAACAACCUCCUGGCAGAGUAUGCUGAGGGUCAACACAAGUCCUACAUCCUCACUGCUGACAAAGGGGUCAAGUUCGCCAAGACCGGAGAGAUCUGGGUGGAUGAGGACGGGGUGGAUCACAACCCCAAAAAGUAA
rnacentral:lncRNA from 1 species